rnacentral:rRNA from 1 species
UGCCCGUACCAUAACCGACACAGGUGGGUAGGUAGAGUAUACUAAGGGGCGCGAGAUAACUCUCUCUAAGGAACUCGGCAAAAUGACUCCGUAACUUCGGGAGAAGGAGUGCCUUAUUUAUAAGGUUGCAAUAACAAGAUCCAAGCAACUGUUUAUCAAAAACACAGGUCUCCGCUAAGUCGUAAGACGAUGUAUGGGGGCUGACGCCUGCCCAGUGCCAGAAGGUUAAAGAAGUUGGUUAGUGUAUGCGAAGCUGAUGACUGAAGCCCUGGUGAACGGCGGCCGUAACGAUAACGGUCCUAAGGUAGCGAAAUUCCUUGUCGGGUAAGUUCCGACCCGCACGAAAGGCGUAAUGAUUUGGAUACUGUCUCGGAGAGAGGCUCGGUGAAAUAGACUUGUCUGUGAAGAUGCGGACUACCUGCACCAGGACAGAAAGACCCUAUGAAGCUUUACUGUAACUUGAAAUUGGAAUUGGACUUUGCUUGCGCAGUAUAGGUGGGAAGCGUUGAAGAUAUUCUUGCGGGAGUAUUGGAGCUAUCAGUGAGAUACCACUCUUGUAAUGUUAGAUUUCUAACUUUGAACCAUAAUCUGGUCAAAGAACAGUUUCAGGUGGGCAGUUUGACUGGGGCGGUCGCCUCCCAAAUGGUAACGGAGGCGUACAAAGGUUUCCUCUGAACGGAUAGAAAUCGUAUCUAGAGUGUAAGGGCAUAAGGAAGCUUGACUGUGAGACCUACAAGUCGAGCAGGGACGAAAGUCGGUCUUAGUGAUCUGACGGUACUGAGUGGAAAGGCCGUCACUCAACGGAUAAAAGUUACUCUAAGGAUAACAGGCUGAUCUCCCCCAAGAGUUCACAUCGACGGGGAGGUUUGGCACCUCGAUGUCGGCUCAUCGCAUCCUGGGGCGGUAGUACGUCCCAAGGGUUGGGCUGUUCGCCCAUGAAAGCGGUACGCGAGCUGGGUUCAGAACGUCGUGAGACAGUUCGGUCCAUAUCCGGUGUAGGCGUUAGAAUAUUGAGAGGAGCCUUCUUUAGUACGAGAGGACCGAGAAGGACACACCGCUGGUGUACCAGUUAUCGUGCCAACGGUAAACGCUGGGUAGCUAUGUGUGGAGUGGAUAACCGCUGAAAGCAUCUAAGUGGGAAGCCCACCUCAAGAUGAGUAUUCUCAUCACUAUAAGUGAGUAAGGUCACGGUAAGACUAACCGUUUGAUAGGCAUUAAGUGUAAAUGUAGUAAUGCAUGUGCUGAGAUGUCCUAACAGACCGAGGAC